GGCUGUGAGGGUGAUCUGACUGUGACAUCUGCCACCCCAUUGAUCACCAGGGUUGAUUUGGACGAUCUUACUGGUUAGGCAAGUGUCCCCUUCCUCCCUCACCCCUCCAUGCGUGUCCCUCCUGAAACUGAGUGCUCAAUUGAAGAGGACACCCUAUCUCCCGCUAGAGAAGAAUCAUUCGCUUCCCCCUACCAGAAUCUCCAGAAACAGCUCGAGGUU
rnacentral:snRNA from 1 species